UUUGUACUCCCUCCGUCCGGAAAUAUUUGUCAUCAAAAUGGAUAAAAGGGGAUGUAUCUAGAUGUAUUUUGUUUCUAGAUACAUCUCUUUUUAUUCAUUUUGAUGACAAGUAUUUUCGGACGGAGGGAGUAUAUG
rfam:Triticum aestivum genome assembly, contig: Triticum_aestivum_CS42_TGACv1_scaffold_514400_6BS